ACAAUCAAAAGGAAGAACCAUGUAGUAUCCCAGUCAAUAACAAAAAUGAAGAAACAGAUAGUAUCCCAGCCGAUAACCAAAAUGAAGAACAUUGUAACCAAAUUGAAAAAUCUGAUGGUAUCCCAGUCAAAAACCAAAAUGAAGAACGUGAAGACCAAAAUAGAG